GUCUCUACAGCACAAUGAUUAGUGCUUUGGACUUCUAAUCUAAAGAUCGUGGGUUCGAAUUCCCACUGGGAUG